rnacentral:lncRNA from 1 species
CCCCGAGCAAGUGCAAGCGGCUGCGCAUUUCAAGCAGGAAGGCGGGUGCCCGCGGGAUCACACCUGCUGUCACAGUUGCAGGAAUCCGGCUUCUAGUAAAUUUCAGACGUGCCGAGGGGGGAGGGGGGCCCAGCAGCUCCCGGAGGGCGACACCCGCGCCAGGAACAGCCGCUGACCCCGAACCCCCGGGGCGGGGGGGGGGGGCUCGGAGGCCCUGAGAACGCUCCCUCCCCUCCCCUCUCCGGGUCACGGUCCUCCAGCGGUGACUGGGGGGCGGGGGGGGGGCACGCACUCGGCUAGGACCCCGCGGGCCGGGAGGCGGGGACUCUGCGCGGGCGGGGCUCGCGUCCCGGGGCGCCGCGGGGUGGGGGUCCCGAGCCUGCAGCCGCUGCAGGAGACAAGGGGGGGAGUUGCCAGAUUAUGAUGUAACUUGCCUGUGCCCACGCUGUUAGGAAGCAGGGGAGCUGGGACCCCCGGGGGGCUCAGCGGUUGAGCACCCACCUUCGGCCCAGGGCGUGACCCCGGGGUCCCGGGAUCAAGUCCCGCAUCGGGCUCCCUGCACGGAGCCUGUUUCUCCCUCUGCCUCUCUCUCUGCCUGUCUCUCAUGAAUAAAGGAAGAAAAGAAAGAAAAAGAAAAGAAAAAGAAAAGAAAAGAAAAGAAAAGAAAGAAAAAAGAAAGAAAAGAAAAAAGAAAAAGAAAGAAAAGAAAAGCCCCCCAGCCCAGCCAGCGCAGGAUAACGGGGAGAUUCCGGUGCAUUCACCCCUGACCUGACACUUGAGCAGUUGCUGAGCACCUCCAACUUCCUCGCCCUUGGAGGGGAGCCUGGGAGGCCUCCCCUUGAAUCUGGAGACCAAGGCAGGGGCCGCGGCACGGGCCUUCCCAGGCGAGGUCGUAGGAGGCGGUGGUUCAGGGGCCCCGCGAGCCGGCAGGCCAGGAAGGAGGCCUUCCCGGGGACACCCCACCGGGUCAGGCUGGUGUAGCGCUGGCCGUCUGUCUGUCUUUGCAGCAGCAGAGGCCCCAGACUGGAGAGGAGAGGUGAGCCGCACCCACUGCAUCAUAAAAUGGUUAUUGUCGUUGGCCACUAAGUUUAGGGUGGUUUAUGGUCUUGCAGUAGAUAACCAGAACACUCAUUAGGCCCCAAAUGAGACCCUAAUGUGUCUCCCAUGUCCCCCCUUGCAAAUUCCUGCCUUUAAGCUCAUGGCAUCCCAGGUCACCCCAUAGGUCAGAAACCUCUGUGUUCAUCUCCAAUCGGUCACCGAAUUCUAGCUCUCACGUCUGUUUCCUAGCUCCAGGCCUCUGCCUGCCCUAGUUG